rnacentral:rRNA from 1 species
GCGACCCCGGUUAGGCGGGGCUUCCGCUUAAUUUUACCUAUCAAUAA